GUAGGGAAUAUUGGACAAUGGGCGCAAGCCUGAUCCAGCCAUGCCGCGUGAGUGAAGAAGGCCCUCGGGUUGUAAAGCUCUUUUGUCCGGAAAGAAAAGCACUGGGUUAAUACCCCGGUGUCCUGACGGUACCGGAAGAAUAAGCACCGGCUAACUUCGUGCCAGCAGCCGCGGUAAUACGAAGGGUGCAAGCGUUACUCGGAAUUACUGGGCGUAAAGCGUGCGUAGGUGGUUUGUUAAGUCUGAUGUGAAAGCCCUGGGCUCAACCUGGGAAUGGCAUUGGAUACUGGCAGGCUAGAGUGCGGUAGAGGGUAGUGGAAUUCCCGGUGUAGCAGUGAAAUGCGUAGAGAUCGGGAGGAACAUCUGUGGCGAAGGCGACUACCUGGACCAGCACUGACACUGAGGCACGAAAGCGUGGGGAGCAAACAGGAUUAGAUACCCGGGUAGUCC
rnacentral:rRNA from 1 species